AGAGUUUGAUCCUGGCUCAGGAUGAACGCUGGCGGCGUGCUUAACACAUGCAAGUCGAACGAUCCUUCGGGAUAGUGGCGGACGGGUGAGUAACGCGUGGGAAUCUGCCCUCAGGAGGGGGAUAACGGCUGGAAACGGCCGCUAAUACCCCAUAUGCCGAGAGGUGAAACGAAUUUCGCCUGAGGAUGAGCCCGCGUCUGAUUAGCUAGUUGGUGGGGUAAAGGCCCACCAAGGCGACGAUCAGUAGCUGGUCUGAGAGGAUGAUCAGCCACACUGGGACUGAGACACGGCCCAGACUCCUACGGGAGGCAGCAGUGGGGAAUUUUCCACAAUGGGCGAAAGCCUGACGGAGCAACGCCGCGUGAGGGAUGAAGGCCUCUGGGCUGUAAACCUCCUUUCUCAAGGAAGAAGACCUGACGGUACUUGAGGAAUAAGCCACGGCUAAUUCCGUGCCAGCAGCCGCGGUAAUACGGGAGUGGCAAGCGUUAUCCGGAAUUAUUGGGCGUAAAGCGUCCGCAGGCGGCCUUGUAAGUCUGUUGUUAAAGCGUGGAGCUUAACUCCAUUUAAGCAAUGGAAACUACAAGGCUGGAGUGUGGUAGGGGCAGAGGGAAUUCCCGGUGUAGCGGUGAAAUGCGUAGAUAUCGGGAAGAACACCAGUGGCGAAGGCGCUCUGCUGGGCCAUAACUGACGCUCAUGGACGAAAGCCAGGGGAGCGAAAGGGAUUAGAUACCCCUGUAGUCCUGGCCGUAAACGAUGAACACUAGGUGUCGGGGGAAUCGACCCCCUCGGUGUCGUAGCCAACGCGUUAAGUGUUCCGCCUGGGGAGUACGCACGCAAGUGUGAAACUCAAAGGAAUUGACGGGGGCCCGCACAAGCGGUGGAGUAUGUGGUUUAAUUCGAUGCAACGCGAAGAACCUUACCAGGGUUUGACAUCCUGCGAACCCCUGAGAAAUCGGGGGGUGCCUUCGGGAGCGCAGAGACAGGUGGUGCAUGGCUGUCGUCAGCUCGUGUCGUGAGAUGUUGGGUUAAGUCCCGCAACGAGCGCAACCCACGUCUUUAGUUGCCAGCUUUCAGUUGGGCACUCUAGAGAGACCGCCGGUGAUAAACCGGAGGAAGGUGUGGAUGACGUCAAGUCGUCAUGCCCCUUACAUCCUGGGCUACACACGUACUACAAUGCUACGGACAAAGGGCAGCAAGCUCGCGAGAGUUAGCAAAUCCCAUAAACCGUGGCUCAGUUCAGAUCGUAGGCUGCAACUCGCCUACGUGAAGGAGGAAUCGCUAGUAAUCGCAGGUCAGCAUACUGCGGUGAAUACGUUCCCGGGCCUUGUACACACCGCCCGUCACACCAUGGAAGUUGGCCAUGCCCGAAGUCG
rnacentral:rRNA from 1 species